AAUAAAUCCAUGGUUUAUAACCGGUAAUUAAUUCACUUAAGUCCACGCUCAAUCUAAAAUGACUAAAAUCAAAACCCUUAUUUUGUGCACUAUCUAAAAUCAUCCAAAUCCAAACCCAUAAUCCAUAGUACUCAAUCCAUAAGUGACUUGUUUGGAUUUGACUAAAAUCAAUCCAAAAUAGCACGUUACAAAGAGUCCAUAGAGCUGUGCACCAUUAAUUGAGAUUAAUGAUAGUAAUUUAG
rnacentral:misc_RNA from 1 species